rnacentral:rRNA from 1 species
UACGUAGGGGGCUAGCGUUGUCCGGAAUUAUUGGGCGUAAAGAGCUCGUAGGCGGUUCGUCGCGUCGGCUGUGAAAACCCGGAGCUCAACUCCGGGCCUGCAGUCGAUACGGGCGGACUUGAGUGUUGCAGGGGAGACUGGAAUUCCUGGUGUAGCGGUGAAAUGCGCAGAUAUCAGGAGGAACACCGGUGGCGAAGGCGGGUCUCUGGGCAACUACUGACGCUGAGGAGCGAAAGCGUGGGGAGCGAACAGG